rnacentral:rRNA from 1 species
UACGGAGGGUGCGAGCGUUGUCCGGAAUUAUUGGGCGUAAAGAGCUCGUAGGCGGUUUGUCACGUCGGCUGUGAAAACUCGGGGCUCAACCCCGAGCCUGCAGCCGAUACGGGCAGACUAGAGUUCGGCAGGGGAGAGUGGAAUUCCUGGUGUAGCGGUGAAAUGCGCAGAUAUCAGGAAGAACACCCGUGGCGAAGGCGGCUCUCUGGGACGGUACUGACGCUGAGACGCGAAAGCGUGGGGAGCGAACAGG